CGUAUGAAUAAGCUUGCAAAUAAAAGGCGGCAACGCAAACCGAUGAGAGAGACAGAUCCAGCUAUCCGGAGCUCCCUCAGUGUCAAAGGUCUCCAGUGCUCGAGUGUUUUGUGCGGAUCUCCUGCGGCUGAUCGGUUCCGGAAAAGGAAAGAAAAUUCCUUUCACACACAUAAAUGGACUGGCAUCUGGUCCAAGGUGCACCAGGUCUUCAGAUCCUGGAAGGAACCUUUUGAUACAAGGGACAAGGUUGUUCCGGAAACAUCGAUAACACCAUUGAAGAAAUUCUCAAAGAAAAAAUCUGCGAUUUCAAGCCAGUUUUAGCCACUGCCUGGUCCACCAAGCGAUCAAUGAUGUUCUGGAAAUCUUCAAACUGCUUCUGCACCUCAGAGCUCAGGUCAGACUUAAGUUCAACUUCAGCCCUGGUCCCAUCUAUAGAUGAAUCAUAUUUUCUAUAUCAUUGUGGUGAACCAUGUAUGGGGUGAGCUGGUAGUUUAAUGUGUAAGGACACCAAUUUAUAACCUGAUGGCUGCUGUUUCGAAUCCCACUUUCACCACUGUUAUAGUGCAUUAGAGCCAGCAACUUGCCCUCAACUGCAAAUGAGUUUGUAAAGCAACAUCUUAAAAAGACAUUAACCGCAAUCACUAUUUGAAGUGCUGUCUUUAAAUUUCUGCAUUGAAAGCACAAGCUUAUUCCCACUGAUGAUAACAAUUCCUACAAAAAAUUCUGGGAAAAAUGUUACAAAUGCUGAUCCUUGACAGAUUAAGCUGAGACCUCGACUAUAAAGGAGAUCAGUUACUGAAGGUAAAGUCAUGCCAAACAUUCUCAAUCUGUGUUUGGAAAUCUGGCCCUACGUGGUAUAUAAACAAGUACCAUAUCUGAGGAUAACUUUCUGCAAAGAGGUGAUCUCUGAGAUAUUGAGAGAACUCUCAAGUUCCAGGGUCAGAUCGUUGGUAUUGUUCAUGGUCACAGUGAGGGCAGCUUCAGUCUCAAUGGCUGGGAUGUUAAGCUGAACCUGCAGCAAACUAUCCCUCAUCUGUUCAAUUCUGCAGAAAAGAAAAACAGGAUUGUUUGGGACUCCAGGCUUGCAGACAAAGUAAAUACUAAAAUGCAACCUAACUCUGAAAUUCCUUACUUUCCACGGCACAGCAGAGACAACUGAGGAACAUUGUUGCUGACAAUGUCAAGCGUAAUGGUGUGCAUCCCCUUCCCUGUGAUGGUGCUAUCAGUGACACCACUCCUGAUUCCUGCCUCUACGUCAUAGUCAGGGACCUGUAUGUCAGUGAAUAGGGCAUUCCUGUUCCUGUUGUAUUUCACAGUGGCUGUGGCCUCGGAGGGUUGUGCACCUGAAACAACAGAGUUUCAUGCAAUGUACGAUUGCUCAAACUUAUUGCGGCCAUAUUUGUUCCGGAACAUGUACCUUCUGCUUUCAGAGUCAUCUUCACAGUAUCUAUGUCCUGCUGUCCAUCUUUACCCUUUUUCAGCACAUCAUAGCUGAAAGUAGCUGUGUAUUCAGUAAUAUCUCCAGUGGGUUGAAUCUCCACAGCAAACCUAAAGCAAACAUACCUCUUGAUCUGUUUCUGGCUUAUUUUAUUUGUCUGCAUUUUCAGAAUGAAUAAUUCAAGUGUAUAUGUCCAAAAUAAUGAGACUCCCAGGUAUAUUGUCCUUACUCUGACUCUCCAGCAUUCAAGGGGAAAUAAGGACCAGCUUGAGCAGAACUGGUGUCAGUGUAACGAAGUGUUGUACAGUACUUCACACCCAGAAAGAGUGGGCUGCAAUUUGUGGAGUCGGAUCUGUCUCCUGUCACUGAGGGCAGUGCCUCUGUCUUCAGAGAGGUCAAUGAAUAUAUUUUGUUGCUGUAAGUGAUGGAAGAAGGACAAAUGCACAACAUUACUAAGAGAAUUAUACAGUGUAAGAUUUAGUAGAAAAUUCAAGUUAGAGUACAAAUUCUAAUAUCAAAGUUGGCCCACCUAAUGCUGAAAAGCUUAGUGGUUCCCUUAGGAGCAGGAAGGGUGAGCUUGACUUGGUUUUGGCUCAUGGACAGUUUAGGAUUAAAUGCACUCUCAUGGUAAAAGUUGGUGUGCAUUCUAAUGCCUGAUAUAACAAAUGAGGGGAUAUGGACACCCAUCUGAGUUUCAAAAUCAACCCCAAGGAAGGGCUGGAAAUAUGUUUCCUGCAACUGAUAAAAAUUGAGAAUAAUGUAACCUGGGAAAUAUUUUACAUUUAGCUUUUACAUUGACAACCAUGUCACCUUGCCUGGGUCAUAGAAAUGUUUUAGAUGUUUAAAAAUAUGUAUAUGUUGUUGUAUAUUUACCAUCUUGGAAGCCACGUGGAAUCCUCCCAUAGCUCCAGGAGCAGAGGUACCAGACAGAGAGAACCUCAAAGGGAAGCCAGAGCUAGUUGGCAGGAAGAACUUGUUAUCCAUGAAGAUAUAAUGGGCGAAAAUUUCAUUGUCGGUGUUUGACAGCAAAGACUUCACAAGCUAGGACCAAGAAAACCAAAGGAAGAAAGUUGUAUUUUACUUGACUGUUAUGGGACAAGCGGUUCUGAAAAUGUGUGUGUGUGUGUGUUAUGUUUUAUGGAGAGAAGGCUAAUAUUUCUUUGUUGCAAGAGUAAGACAUUGCUUUCAUCUAAACACUCUGAAAUAAAAAAAAAGAACGUACAUUUUUGGGAAACA
ensembl:lncRNA